rnacentral:tRNA from 1 species
GCCACUGUGUUGGAACUGGUAGACAAACUUGACUCAAAAUCAAGCGCCCCCAAGGCGUGACGGUUCGAAUCCGUCCAGUGGCACCA